CAUAUUUAUUUGCUAUCUAAUAGUAGGUAAUCUGUAUAAACCAUUGGGUCACAUAUUGGUCUUAAGAAGGUGCAAUUAGUUGUUAAUAAGAAAGCUGCUAUUAGGAUGGGGUGACACAGGAGGGCAAGCCAAGCGCGCGGUUGGAAAAGCGCGUCCAAGCCCGUAGGCGAACUGCAGGCAAAACCGCAGUUCAUAAAGCCUGAGAGGUUAUGGGGAGCGAAAACAAGUAGCGAAGUGGCUGCACCCAAACUGUCAAGAAAAACCUCUAACGAGGCUAUAAGGUGCCCGUACCGCAAACCGACACAGGUAGGUGGGGUGAGAAUCCUAAG
rnacentral:ncRNA from 1 species